rnacentral:rRNA from 1 species
AACGAACGCUGGCGGCAUGCCUAACACAUGCAAGUCGAACGAAGCCUUCGGGCUUAGUGGCGCACGGGUGCGUAACGCGUGGGAAUCUGCCCCUUGCUUCGGAAUAACAGUUAGAAAUGACUGCUAAUACCGGAUGAAGUCUUCGGACCAAAGAUUUAUCGGCAAGGGAUGAGCCCGCGUAGGAUUAGGUAGUUGGUGGGGUAAAGGCCUACCAAGCCGACGAUCCUUAGCUGGUCUGAGAGGAUGAUCAGCCACACUGAGACUGAGACACGGCCCAGACUCCUACGGGAGGCAGCAGUGGGGAAUAUUGGACAAUGGACGCAAGUCUGAUCCAGCAAUGCCGCGUGAGUGAUGAAGGCCUUAGGGUUGUAAAGCUCUUUUACCAGGGAUGAUAAUGACAGUACCUGGAGAAUAAGCUCCGGCUAACUCCGUG